ACUUUAACCCGGUUAAAAAGUUUUUUCUUUAAAUGUGUAAAGGUUAUGUCAAUAAAAGACAAUAAUUUGUGUGUUACUGUUACUUUUUACAAUAUUAAGUAGCAUUUUAUAUGUGAAGGGAUUAACAAACGAAAGGUUCGUGUAGACCAAGAAAAUGUAACCUAUAGCCUACCUAGGGCGCUUAUCAAUACAAAAAAAACUGGAAGCUACUACAUUUUAGGUCUGAGUCUUAGAUUUCUGUAUCUGUUUCGUGAUCAUUUGAUUAUUCUGUGCAAGCAGACCACCACCACCCUCUUGGCAUCUAAGGAACAUGACUUAGCCGGACUAAUUCAGAGAGUGCAGGCAAAAUUGAGAAGUUUGGACUACACAUAUAAAUAUCCAAAACUAAAGUAAUGAUAAUCGAUAGAUCAAGGAAACUCACUGAGAGAACACACACGGUGAACUGAGAGAUCUAGAAAUAGUACGGGCGUUUAUAUACCCCGGUUCCGUGAUAAGCAGUCAAGAAGGAAACAAAAACGAAAUCCGAAGAACCCAGAUGACCAACUACGCAAUGAACCAACUGGUAUUUUUAUGGAAGGACCGGAUAUCCUUACAAACAAAGAAAUUGGUUCAGAAUCUGGUAUUUCCGGUUUUCCUCUGUAGCGCUGAAUCCUGGACAAAACGGACAUCUGUAAGGAGAAAAAUAGAUGCUUUGGAAAUGUGGUGUUGGAGGCGGAUGCCAGGGAUUCCCUGGACAGCUUAGGCAACAAACGUGUCCAUACUAAGACGGACGAAAGAAUCGUCUUCCGACACUUUGUUAUCAAAGUAUCCUUAACGAGUUUUUUUAUAAUACGCAGAGAUCCAGAAAGUUUAGAAAAAGUUAUCGUGACUGAGUGAAGAGUAGCAGCAGACCGUACUUACGGGCCCCAUCAUCAACCAGGCGUAUUAGGCCCAUAUAGUAUACGUUCGUCACUGGUUCAAAAAAAAAUAUAUUUUUUUUUAAAUAUAAUAGGGCAAACGAGCUUGCGGGACGACCAAAAAGGGCAGUCUACGCAGCCCAUAGACACCCAUUUUUUGUGGGUUCGUUGCCGGCCUUUGAGGGAGGAGUAGACUCGCUUUUUGAACAUGCACUUUCAUUUGAUUCUAGAACAAUUAAGACUAUGAUAUCAUUUUACGGCCAUGAAAGAAGUCAAGUUCAAGUUCAAGAUAUCACCAACGGAAAUAGAAAAUGUAAUCUGUGGUUACCCAGGCGUCUUGGAUGUUGCUGUGACCAGUAUUCCUGAUCUGGAGUGUGGGGACUUGCCCGUGGCUUGUGUGAAAACCUUAAAGGGCACUCAGGUCUCCGCUCAGGAGAUUAAAGAUCUAGUUAAGGGUAAGUAACGACUAUGAAUAAUUUGGCAUUAAUAUCAUGUUGCUCUAAAACGUUAAACAAACAAUUAUGAAUUAAAGUAUACACAACUUAAAAAAAAUUAAAUCCAAUAGAACUAUUAUUCUAUAUCAAUGAUUAUCUAAUCUUUAUAAGAAUAAUAUACUGACGGACUCAUAAACUGCAUCAAACUUCAGGAUUACUUUGAAAUGAUUUUUUUAAUAAGUAUGCAAACUUUUUAGAUUCAAUUAUAUAAAUAUGGAGAGACUGGCCCUUAAUCUUAAAAUAAAAAGCAAUAUUUAAAAAUAGAACUGCAGUAAAACAAAUGAAUAUGCCGGGAAAAGAAAAUUUACUCGUAUCAGAAUUGCGUGAUUUGAAAAUUGAUUCUUAUUGAUUUUUUAUUCUUUUGACAGUUGAAUUAUUGUUACCAGCAGAAUUGUUGGGUUAGCUUUUUAACUCAUCGAGAGUUUCUGAACCAUAAUAUGCAUACUUCGUCCGAACAAGCUGCUCAAAUUGUAGCAUUGGUGCGGGAGGGCUUGGAUCAACGAACGAUUGGUAGAAAUUUAAAUUUAAACCAGUCUACGGUUUCUAGAAUAUACAGAAGGUUUGUGACAGGUUCUUACAAAAGGAGACGUGGUACAGGCAGAACUCGAGCAACCACAACUUCCCUGCGACAUCGUUUCCUCACCUCAGUUAACAUCAAAACAGAGCUUAAUGAAGUGCGUGGAGUAAACGUUAGUGCACGAACAAUAAGAAGAAGGUUAAAGGAAGCGGAUAUCACAGACAGUUUCUAUGUCAAAUCCAUCAAUCUUGUGAUGUAACUUUUUUAUCGUCCUGAAGUGAAACCUGAUGGUAUGCAUGUAACGAUCCAACCAUGCACAUUUAUUUAUCGUAAUUAUAAUCGAAAAACAUAAUCUUAGAUUUAUUAGGCAUUUUCCAGGUAACCUUCAAAAAAGAAUUAACCGCGGAGCUGAAUAUUAUAUUUAGCUUCAGUGGUGACGUAAAACCAGGGGGUCUACAGGUUCCAAAAAGGAUGACGAAGAGGAGUUCCAGAAGAAUGACCUGGAUCCAGCACCAACUCCUCGACAGAAAGAUCUAGUCAUUCUAGACAUACUUACAUCACAUAGUAGACGACAGAGUAAUGCUAAGCAAUUGGCCGCUAUGCGAAAAUAUAGUAAAGAUUAGGCCAUAUUACAUACAGAAAUGAUUAUUUUUAUAUGUCUUUUCUCCUCGUUAUCUCUGAUUACGACUAAUAAGUCUAUUCGAUUUCAACAAUUUUUCUUCGCCUUAUAACCCAAUAUUUAUAUUGUAUUUUUCAUUAGUAUAAAUGAAACGAUGAACGACUAGUUUGAAGUAUCAAUAAAUGUAUUGUUUAUU